UAGGGAAUCUUCACAAUGGGCGCAAGCCUGAUGGAGCAACACCGCGUGAGUGAAGAAGGGUUUCGGCUCGUAAAGCUCUGUUGUUGGAGAAGAACGUGCGUGAGAGUAACUGUUCACGCAGUGACGGUAUCCAACCAGAAAGUCACGGCUAACUACGUGCC
rnacentral:rRNA from 1 species